rnacentral:rRNA from 1 species
AACGAACGCUGGCGGCGCGUCUUAAACAUGCAAGUCGAACGGCAGGAAGGGGCUUGCCCCUUCUGAGAGUGGCGGACGGGUGAGUAACACGUGGGUGACAUACCUUUUAGCUGGGGAUAGCGAUUAGAAAUAGUAGGUAAUACAGAAUGUGACCGUACCUGUUAGAGGGGUACGAGGAAAGGAGCUAAGGCUUAGCUACAAGAAUGGCCAGGGGACCAUUAUGCUCGUUGGUGAAGUAACGGCCCACCAAGACGAUGAUGGGUAUCCGACCUGAGAGGGUGAACGGACACAUUGGGACUGAGAUACGGCCCACACUUCUACGGGAGGCAGCAGUUAAGAAUAUUCCGCAAUGGACGAAAGUCUGACGGAGCGACGCCGCGUGGAUGAAGAAUGCCGAAAGGUUGUAAAAUCCUUUUAAGCCUGAUGAAUAAGCACAGUAGGGAAUGAUUGUGCGGUGACCGUAGGGCUUGAAUAAGCACCGGCUAAUUACGUG